AUUGAACGCUGGCGGCAGGCCUAACACAUGCAAGUCGAACGGUAACAGGAAGCAGCUUGCUGCUUCGCUGACGAGUGGCGGACGGGUGAGUAAUGUCUGGGAAGCUGCCUGAUGGAGGGGGAUAACUACUGGAAACGGUAGCUAAUACCGCAUAAUGUCGCAAGACCAAAGAGGGGGACCUUCGGGCCUCUUGCCAUCGGAUGUGCCCAGAUGGGAUUAGCUUGUUGGUGGGGUAACGGCUCACCAAGGCGACGAUCACUAGCUGGUCUGAGAGGAUGACCAGCCACACUGGAACUGAGACACGGUCCAGACUCCUACGGGAGGCAGCAGUGGGGAAUAUUGCACAAAGGGCGCAAGCCUGAUGCAGCCAUGCCGCGUGUAUGAAGAAGGCCUUCGGGUUGUAAAGUACUUUCAGCGGGGAGGAAGGGAGUAAAGUUAAUACCUUUGCUCAUUGACGUUACCCGCAGAAGAAGCACCGGCUAACUCCGUG
rnacentral:rRNA from 1 species